rnacentral:tRNA from 1 species
GUGACCAUAGUUCAACGGUCAGAACACCGGGUUGUGGUCCCGGGGAUACGGGUUCGAUUCCCGUUGGUCACCCA